rfam:Neocallimastix californiae strain G1 LY90scaffold_473, whole genome shotgun sequence.
GGGGUGUUAGCUCAGCGGUAGAGCAAUUGACUGCAGAUCAAUAGGUCUUCGGUUCAAAUCCAGAACGCCCCU